AGAGAAUAGAUACCCCGGUAGUCCACGCCGUAAACGAUGGAUGCUAGCUGUUAUGAGUAUCGACCCUCGUAGUAGCGUAGCUAACGCGUUAAGCAUCCCGCCUGUGGAGUACGGUCGCAAGACUAAAACAUAAAGGAAUUGACGGGGACCCGCACAAGCGGUGGAGCGUGUUGUUUAAUUCGAUGGUAAGCGAAGAACCUUACCCAGGCUUGACAUCCUGCCAAGUUCGCCGAAAGGCGAGUGUGCCUUCGGGCCGCAGUGACAGGUGAUGCAUGGCCGUCGUCAGCUCGUGUCGUGAGAUGUUUGGUUAAGUCCAUCAACGAGCGCAACCCUUAUAGUUAGUUGUAUUUCUCUAGCUAGACUGCCCUGGUAACAGGGAGGAAGGGGGGAUGAUGUCAGGUCAGUAUUUCCCUUACGUCUGGGGCUACAAACACGCUACAAUGGCCGGUACAAAGGGCUGCCAACCCGCGAGGGGAGCAAAUCCCAUCAAAGCCGGUCUCAGUUCGGAUUGUAGGCUGAAACUCGCCUGC
rnacentral:rRNA from 1 species